GUACGUUCAGAAUCUGCUAUUCACGAUUCAUGGGAACCUCAUUAUUGUUUGUUUUAUUGUCGGUAAUGCAAUCUUUGUAAAGGGCCCUUCUCGUAUCUACAUACGGCAAUGUACUGGUAUUUCUGAGCUGCACGUGGGCUCAUAUGAGGCCGUUGCGUUUUAAACGUGUUUCUAUAAUGAUAACAAAUUGUAUUCUGUUUAGCACUAUGUUGAAUUUUUUUAAUCUCUUUCCAACUUCUGGCUUAUGUCCUCUGUAUCCUAUAACUGUUAUAUAUGCAUUUGCUGACCUUCUUGUAUCUGCAUAUGGCAAUGUACUGGUAUUUCUGAGCUGCACGUGGCCUCAUAUUAGACCUUCCUGUUUUAAACGUGUUUCUAUAACAGUGUGGAGUGAAAUUAUAACAAAUCACAUUCUUUUUUAGCACUAUUUUGAAUUUGUUAUCUCUUUCCAACUCCUGGCUUAUGUCCUCUGUAUCAUAUAACUGUUAUACAUACAUUUGUUGACCCUCUCGUAUCUGCAUAUGGCAAUGUACCGCUAUUUCUGAGCUACACGUGGCCUCAUAUGUGGCCUGUGCGUUUUAAACGUGUUUCUAUAACUGAGUGAAAUGAUAACAAAUCGUAUUUUUUUAGCACUAUGUUGGAUUUGUCGUUACUUUCGACUACUGGCUUAUUUACUUUGUAUCAUAUAACUGUUAUGCAUACAUUUUCUGACCUUCUCGGACCGGUAUCUCUGAGCUGCACGUGGCCUCAUAUGAGGCCUGUGUGUUUUAAAGGUGUUUUUAUAACUGUGGAGUAAAAUGAUAACAAAUCGUAUUCUUUUUAGCACUGUUGAAUUUGUUAUCUCUUUCAACUCCUGGCUUAUGUCCUUUGCAUCAUAUAACUGUUAUACAUAAAUUUGCUGACCUUCUCAUAUCUGCAUAUGGCAAUGUACCAGUAUCCCUGAGCUGCACGUGACCUCACAUGAGGCCUGUGCAUUUUAAACAUGUUUCUAUAACUGGGAGUAAAAUGAUAACAAAUCAUAUCCUUUUUAGCACUAUGUUGAAUUUGUUAUCUCUUUCAACUCCUGGUUUAUGUCCUCUGUAUAUAUAUCUGUUAUACAUACAUUUGCUGUCCUUCUCGUAUCUGCAUAUGGCAACAUACCAGUAUCUCUGAGCUGCAUGUGGCCUCAUAUGAAGCCUUUGUGUUUUAAACGUGUUUCUAUAACUGUGGAGUGAAAUGAUAACAAAUCACAUUCUUUUUAGCACUAUGUUGAAUUUGUCAUCUCUUUCAACUCCUGGCUUAUGUCCUUUGUAUCAUAUAUCUGUUAUACAUACAUUUGCUGACGUUCUCAUAUCUGCAUAUGGCAUAUCUCUGAGCUGCACGAGGCCCUCAUAGGAGGCCUUUGCGUUUUAAACAUGUUUCUAUAAUUGUGGCAUGAAAUGAUAACAAAUCUUAUUCUUUUUGCACUAUGUUGAAUUUGUCAUCUCUUUCAACUCCCGGCUUUAUGUCCUCUGUAUCAUAUAACUGUUAUACAUACAUACGUUGAAUGCUGAUACAGUAUAUAACACUUGUUAAGUGAUGCAGUCUAAGAAUCACAAAUCAAUACAAUGCAAAAUUCCUAAAACAACAAAAUACUAAACCUAUUAAAACUCUCUAAAUAUUCUUAACUGCUAUGUUCAUUGGUUGUAAGCUGUAUUGAUGUAGUUUAUUUUGCAUAUUCAAUAAGGGCCAUAGUGUCCAAUUUCAACCUUUCAUUUUUCUUGAUGAUGUAUGCUGUUAGUUGUUAAAUGAUUCAUUUUCAUGUAUUUGUUAUCUUGUUAAUAGGUAUAAAAGAUAGUUUUACUACUGGAUGAGAAGAAACUUUUUUCAUCAGUCUGGAGUCUGGAACCUAUCGAUUCUUGUGACAUUUUUGGACUAGCGUUAAUUGUAUGCUUUCGAUCAAUCUAGAAGAAAAGAGGAUGUUAUAUAAAUAAGCAUGAUAUAGAUAGUUAUACCUAGAAACUACACUACUUGGGCACAAUAAAAGUUGUCUAAAUAGAUAUAGAAUUGGUAGUUCUGUCUACUGCAUGGGAGGAAACUUCUUUCAUCAGUCUGGACCAUGUCAGACUCUUUCGACAGUUUUGAAUGAGUGUUAAUUGUUGUAUGCAUGCUAUCAAUCUGGAAGAAAGGGUGUGUUGCAUGAAGAAGUGUGGCAUAGCUGUUUCUAGUUUGCUAGUAAUUACGUUUUGAUUCGUGAUGCAACCAAUGCUAGUUUUGAUGCCUAAGAAAGUUUAGUUAUGAAGCCUAAGGUAUUCUAUUAUUCACUUUGCCUAAUUCAGUCCUGCAAAUAGUCAUCACCCUGCUUCUUGUACUAAUUUUACUUCCAAACUUGUACCUGUCUGAACCUUUAUUUUACUGUUCACAGACCAUAAAUAUUCUCCUUCAUCCUUUCAGAAACCUAAAUCAUGUUCCUAAUUCCCUGCUGCCCCGUGCACUAAAGUUACUUCCAAUCUUGGAAAUGAAAACUUUAACCAAUGACCAAUUUCUUGAGAUGAUACGUGGAAUUUCCUGAAAAGGGUAAAUUGUUGAGAUCUUUAAGAGGUUAAGAUCUUAAGAUCUGUAGCAACUUGACUUCUAUACUAUCUACUUCACAUUCCUGCUUAUUUUAGCCUUCAACAAAGCCUCAAAUUUCAACGUUAAUCUAUGACUCGUAGGCUGUAAGUUUACAAUGGGUUUCCUGGUUCCAAAUCCAUUGGCGACAGAUAUAGCAGGUUCUUGGUUGGAGAGGAGAAAUGGAUCCAUAUGGCAAGUAUUAGGUUGGAGCAUUAGGAUUAUGAAUUGAUGGGC
rnacentral:lncRNA from 1 species